CCUUACCAGGGAUGGGAUACUGGAGCACCACCCUGGAGCCAGGCCUAGUGGAGGUGAUGUCGGCAGUCAAACUUUCCUCGAGCCUGACAUCAGAUAUGUAAAUGUCUGAUUUUACCUGACCAGCAGGUGAAAAUAUAUUUAGUGCACAGUCAUCUAAAAAGAAAAACUGUCAACCGCCUAACAAGGUGCACAUAUUCACAGCUGCUGCUGCAGGAGAUGAGCCCAAAUGAGGAGAGUCUACAUAAGAUGAGAGGGACGUGCCAGACAACAGGUGCAUGGAUACAUCACGGCUCAUCCACUGGCACCACACUGUAUG